GCAGCAGAUUGUGAAUGUAUAUAUAUAUAUAUAUAUAAAAACCAUAAAAAACUCUGGGGGGGGGUGUGCCAAUUACAGGAUUUGCCCCGGGUGCCAAAUACUCUAGGUAUGCCCCUGCUUACGCCUUACUCUAUAGUAGGCAAAACAAACAUAAAAAUAUUACAUUCUGGGGCCUUUACGUCUGUGUGCUAGAAUUUAAUGUCCAGUUUAUUUAACAUCACCCAAUCAAUGUAUCCUUCUUCAUGAAAGAUGAACAGGAAUAAGAUUUAUUUUUAUAUCUUCUCAUGACAUUGGCCUUAAACCUCCCGUACUUUCAAACAUACACAAAUUCCUUCUAACUUGCUUUCACUUUAUCAGCUAUAAUUGUAUAUUCCGUGUCAGUAAACAUUGAAAAAGGUGUGUCACUAUGGCAACAUAAAAAUAUGUUUUUCUCCUAUCAAACAGUGUCUAUUUAAGGGGUUUAAAUUUAACAAUUUCUUACUUUUUGUGUUGGGAUUAAAUGGCUAAUUAUAUAAUAUGGGUAUGUUUUAGGACAUUAUACUAUAAAAGCUCUGGCAUAUGAAUCGAGGUCAAACAUUUCUUUGUUCGAUAUACAGUAUUGCUUGAAUGACAAUGUAAAAGUCAUUCAAGUAGUAAUGUAAAAAAAUGUCAGCCUUUUAUUUUAAACUUAAUGGGACACUGUCAUCAUUUUAAUAUUGUAAUACAAUGUUUAUAAUACAUUCAUGCAUAUUGAGAUUGUGAUCAGUUGCCCACCUUUCCCACUCCCCAUUUCUGACAGCCACCUCUGGGCACUUUUAAUUGGAUUGUCAGUUACCGGAUUCAGUGCUCACAAUUUAGCAAUUGUUUUUACUUUUCAAAAUCGCCUGAUUUUCUUAAAAAAAAUUAAAAUUAAUAAACAUGAAUUUUUAAAAAGAGAUGUAUAAAAUAACAUCACUUAUAUUGAGAUGGUAAAAAGGCAGUAUCAGUGUUCCUUUAAUUUUUCCUCUUAAUCAUGGAUCUCAAGUAAAGCAUCAAGCCUAUUCAUCAGCCAGUGAACGAAGCACUGGAUUUUUUUUAAAUGUAUUACUAUAGAAUUGUUUGCAGAUAUGCAUGAUGACAAGACAUCUGAUGUUAACAUGCAAAAGCACGUUGGGCUGAUGACAUCACAGCACACCUACACUUGCAUCACAACCAUCUAUUAUGUCAUCACACUUAUUUAUAUGUGAAUCUGAUGCUAAAUAGGAGCUGGAUAGGGAAGGAUCUUGCAGACAAUUUCUAGUUAAAGGACCACUCUAGGCACCCAGACCACUUCAGCAUAAUGAAGUGGUCUGGGUGCCAGGUCCCUCUAGGAUUAACCCUUUUUUUUUUAUAAACAUAGCAGUUUCAGAGAAACUGCUAUGUUUAUAAAUGGGUUAAUCCAGCCCUCAGAGCCUCUAGUGGCUGUCUCAUUGACAGCCGCUAGAGGCGCUUGCGUGAUUCUCACUGUUAAAAUCACAAUGAGAACACGCAAGCGUCCAUAGGAAAGCAUUGUAAAUGCUUUCCUAUGAGACCGGCUGAAUGUGCGCGCAGCAUUCUGCCGAAAGGGAGGAGUGGAGGAGGAUCGGAGGCGGAGAGCUCCCCGCCCGGCGCGGGAGAAAAGGUAAGUUUUAACCCUUUCCUCUCCCCAGAGCUGGGCGGGAGGGGGACCCUGAGGGUGGGGGCACCCUCAGGGCAGUAUAGUGCCAGGAAAACUAGUAUGUUUUCCUGGCACUAUAGUGGUCCUUUAACUGAGAAAGAGAAAUUUUAGUAUUGAAGACAAAUUUUUAAAAAACUAUUUUUGCUUACAAUAUGUUUAGCUGUUCACAAACAAAACACUGUUUCUUUAAAUAUUGCUUGUAUGACUUUAUAUGAGGACUGGCUAAGAUAUGUGAAUUGUUUUAUAAUAUAUUUUGUUUGUAUGAUAUUACUACUUUAAUUGUCACUACAUCUUUUGUGCACGUAUAUAAACGCUAAACAUACUUCUAUUAAUGUUAUGCUGUGUGACGAAGUGCCCUUCACCACUUGUGCCUGGAGAGGACUAAUUACCAGCCACAGUGGCGUACACAUGACCCAUGGGGCCCCGGUGCGAAAAUUGAUCCGUGGCCCCCCCCCGCGCGCGGGCCGGGCCGCAACACAUGGCGGUGGGCACCUGGUCGCAGGGGUUACAGGGCUGCGACCCCUGCGACCGCGGUAUGUACGCCAGUGCAUGCAGAUGCACACACACUUAAAGGACCACUCUAGGCACCCAGACCACUUCAGCUUAAUGAAGUGGUCUGGGUGCCAGGUCCAGCUAGG